GGACCCUUCUUUUAGAAAAAGUUGUUUAAAAUAUGAUGCAACUCUCCUCUUUUUGAGUACAAAAUUCUCAGUUUUCAAAGAUUUUGUAUAGAAGAACUAUACAAAUCCUUGGUAUUUCUAUUUUCUUUUCUACAUCAGUAAACUGACCCCUUGUCUGAGGGAGGGUUGUUCUCAACCUGAUAAUAACAAACACAGGUCAAAGUACGGCCUUUUACACAGGGCUUUGAUACAGACCAAACAGCAGGCUAUAAAGGACCCCAAAAAUAUUAGCGUACACAAUUCGAACAGGAAAACUAAC
rnacentral:lncRNA from 1 species